UACGGAGGGCGCAAGCGUUGCUCGGAAUUACUGGGCGUAAAGCGCGUGUAGGCGGUCGACCGUGUCGGAUGUGAAAGCCCCCGGCUCAACCGGGGAAGUGCAUCCGAAACUAGUCGACUAGAGGUUGGUAGAGGGUAGGGGAAUUCCCGGUGUAGAGGUGAAAUUCGUAGAUAUCGGGAGGAACACCGGUGGCGAAGGCGCCUGCCUGGGCCAAAUCUGACGCUGAGACGCGAAAGCGUGGGGAGCAAACAGG
rnacentral:rRNA from 1 species